rnacentral:rRNA from 1 species
AGAGUUUGAUCCUGGCUCAGAGCGAACGCUGGCGCCAGGCUAAACACUUGGAAGUGGAACGGGCCCCUUUGGGGGAGAACGGCGGGAGGGGUGAAGAAAGCGGUGGGGAUCGUCCCUUCUGGUUGGGAAAAACCCUGGGAAACUAGGGCUAAUACCGGAUACGCCCUUUUGGGGAAAGGUUUACUGCCGGAAGUUGGCCCCGCGUCUGUAAACCUAGUUGGUGGGGUAACGGCCUACCAAGGGGACGUUCUGUUGCUGGUCUGAGAGGAUGUACACCCACACUGGGACUGAGACACGGCCCAGUCUCCUAGGGGAGGCAGCUGUGGGGAAUUUUGGACAAUGGGCGCAAGCCUGAUUCCAGCCAUGCGGCGUGAGUGAUGAAGGCCUAAGGGUUGAAAACCUCUUUUAUCGGGGAGGAUAUUGAGGGUACGGGAGGAUUAACCCCGGGCAAACUUGGUCCCAGCAGCGCCGGAAUUACGAAGGGGGCUACGGUUCCUGGGAAUCACUGGCGGUAAAGGGCGCGUAGCGGCGGUUUAAAGUGGGGGGUGAAAGCCUGUGGCUCAACCACAGAAUGGCCUUCGAUACUGGGACGCUUGAGUAUGGUAGAGGUUGGUGGAACUGCGAGUGUAGAGGUGAAAUUGGAAGUAUUUGCCAAGAACACCGGUGGCGAAGGCGCCCAACUGGACCAUUACUGAGCCUGAGCGCGGAAACGGUGGGGAGCAAACAGGAUUAGAUACCCUGGUAGUCCACGCGGAAAACGUUGAUUCCCAGCUGUUGGGGUCCUUCCACCGCAGUACGCCAGCUACGCCUUUGAGCUUUCGCCCUGGGGAGUACGGUCGCAAGAUUAAAACUCAAAGGAAUUGACGGGGGCCGCCACAACGGGUGGAGCAUGUGGUUUAUUUCGAAGCAAGCGCCAGAACCUAACCUUCUUUUGACUUGCGGUGUAACCCAGAGAGUUCUGGGGUCCCCUUGGGGGCGCGCCACACAGGUCCUCCUUGCCUGUGGUCACCUGGUGUGGUGAGUUGUUGGGUUAAGUCCGCCAAGGACGCCAACCCAGGUCCUAAGUUCCCUUCUUUCAGUUGGGCACUCUAGGGAGACUCCGGGUAAUAACCGCGGAGGAAGGUGUGGUUGACGUCAAGUCCUCUUGCCCCUUAGGGGUUGGGCUACACACGUGCUACAAUGGCGGUGACAGUGGGAGGCGAAGGACGGAUCUGGACGAAAUCCCCAAAAGCCGUCUCAGUUCGGAUUGCACUCUGCAACUCGAGUGCAUGAAGGCGGAAUCGCUAGUAAUCGUGGAUCAGCAUGCCACGGUGAAUACGUUCCCGGGCCUUGUACACACCGCCCGUCACACCAUGGGAGUUGGUCUUAGCGGUCGGGCCUCGCCCAACGCCAAGAAGCCAGGCGUCCACGGAAGGGUCACCGACUGGGGUCAUGUCGAUACAAGC